CACCUGGCACAACCUUAAAUCGCCCAUCAAAGCUGAAGGAGAAAUAGUUUCUCAGAGAAGUCAAAAUUAAGAAAUUUUGUUUCCAACUGAUCUUCAUGUUGCCAACAGAAUCCUGCAAGAAGCUCUUUGAGCAAAGAGAAAGGAUACAUCUUGGAAACUUAGAUCCACGAGAAGAAGAAGGCACAACAGAGAGAGGUGGGGUAAGAGAAGGGUGUGUGUGCGUGCGCACGGGCACGCUCUGAUACACAUCUGAACUGACAGCAGUGACUGAACAAACAGGAAGGAGGAAGUAAGAUCCAUUUGUUGUUCCAAGGUGAUCCCCUUCCUUUGGGGUAGUACAAUGGUUUACAGAAUCGAACUUAUAAACUCUGGAGCAAACAUUAAGGAAGGUAAUAAGUCCAGAUGACCUGUGACUUACUACAGAAACUUUUCAACUGUGUGACAGUGUGAAUAUGAAAGAGAUUCUUUUUUUUAAAAAAAGGACCAAAACCAUUGUGUGUGUGAGUGCACGUGUGUGUGUGAGUGCAUGUGUGUGUGUGCGUGUGUGUGUGCGUGUGUGUGCGCGCAUGCAUGUGUUAGUAUGUACAUGCAUAUGUGUGUGUGUGCAUGUGUGUGUGAGUGCAUGUGUAUGUGUGUGCAUGCAUGUGUUAGUGUGUGUGUUCAGUGCUCAUAGAGGCCAGCAGGGGGUAUCAGAUCCCUUAGAGCUGGGGUUAUAAGCAGUUGACAGCUACUUUGGGUGCUGGGAACCAAACUCUGGUCCUCUGCAAUAGCAGCAAGUGCUUUUCACCACUAGGCUAGCUCUCUAACCACAUGAAACUAAUUCUGAUCUGGCAGAAUCCAGAGAUUGUCCUUCUGCGCUCCCUGGGUUAGUGGCCUGUGGUGUAGUGGUCUCUGGUAAUGCUGGUAAUUCUCACAUGUUGGGGAUUUGAGACCUUUCUAGAAAUUUGGAAAUGUAUUAGACUGUUAAAUCAAUUGUUACCCCGACUGUGCUUCUCAACACUGAUAUCUUCUUUCUCCAUCCUCUCUCUACCGUGUCCUCCUCUGUUCCCAGGGAUCACUGUUUUAAUCUUAUUUAACUUAAUAUGAGGACCUUGGGUUUUCAUCAUUGUUGCUGCAAACACCCCAGAGGUUCCUUCUUUGAAUAGCUACAUUGUGUAUUGUCCUGGUUUUAAUAUGCUUGGCCUUGGGAGUAACACUAUUAGGAGGUGUGGCCUUGUUGGAGAAGGUGUGACCUUGGAGAGGGCGUGGCCUUGUUGAAGAGGGUGUGGCCUUGUUGGAGUGGGUGUGGCCUUGUUGGAGUAGGUGUGUCACUGUGUGUGUGACUUUAAGACCCUCAUCCUAGCUGCCUGGAAGCCAGUCUUCCCCUAGCAGCCUCCAGAUGAAGAUGUAGAACUCUCAGCUCCUCCUGCACCAUGCCUGCCUGGGUGCUGCCAUGCUCCCACCUUGAUGAUAAUGGACUAAACCUUGGAACCUGAUUUGGAACCUGCCCUGUACUGGAGUUUCUCUGUCCUGGAACAACCCUCACGCUUGUCUCCCAGCCUAGGUGCUGCUGCUCUAGGGAAGGACUUGCCCAGGAGACUCAUCUGAGGCAGACGGCGAGUUUAACAGCAGUAAUCAAGGAAAUGAAAACCAAGCGAUGAAUAAUGGAAUCACAGUCACGGCAGCCUUGAGUGGAGCACCAGGCGCUGUCCUGAUGACAGAUAAGAAUUUCAGAGGGAAAUAAAAAUUUCAGGGGUAGCAGAAAA